CAGCUUGGUCAGGAAUUAUGCAAAUUCUAUUUUUUACAUGUAGUGUGUGUGCAUGUGUGUGUGUGUGAGAGAGAGAGAGAGAUUUGACUAAUUAUGUCAUCUCUUCAUCUUUUCUCUAUAGAAUGGAACAGAACUAUUCUUCAGGGGUCAGCUUAUUUGGGAAACACUUAUGGAUGAGCUCUUGUCAAUUGGAUUGUCUAAUGCUAGACAGCUUGAAGGUUCACCAAUUGUGGUUGCACAGAAUGAGAAGAUUGAUGGAGUGCUUUGACACUGAUUUGGUGUGGGCAUGCAGCUUCUAUGUUGAAUAGAGUAUCAUGUAAUAGGAAACAGAGCGACUCCUCGGUGGAUGAACUCACUUCAGAUACAAC